GUUUUGGUUACUGAUGUGUACGAGUGAUUGCAGUGCUGUACGAGGCUACACCUUUUUGGUAUUCUCGGUUGUGCUUUAUGUGUUGUGGGUUCUACCACAAUUGUCCUACAUGCUCCACAUGAACGUCAGAUUGAAUCUGUGAGAGAAGUCUGGGACCUUGCCACUGAGCCAGCUUUUCUCUUAUACGCCGCACUGGUGAUAGCAAUCGUCUUCAUUCUAAUAUUUCAUUGUAUUCCACAAUAUGGACAGACGCAUAUAUUGUUCUACAUUGGUGUUUGUUCACUGGUUGGUUCAUUGUCGGUAAGUCUUGCUAACUUUUAGUGUGCCCUCUUCAGUUUGCUCCUCCUUCCAUCCUGCCUUCAUACAACCCUAAACUAUAUUGCAUCUUUUAUUCUAUUUUAAUAUAUACAAACCAAUGUUAUGUGCUGUGCACCUUAAAUGUGGUCGCUGUUACUACAUCUCUAGACUAGUCAUCAAGUGUUCCAGUGGAACGACGGUCAGUGAGAAUUUUCGGAGAAAACAUCAGGAUUCUGCAGUCACAUGACUUAAUCACUUUCUUAAGGCAGUUACUGCGACCACCUCGAUUUCCUUCCAAUUCCCGCGAUCUGGUAAGAGAGCUAUUACCUGUUUCUUCAUGGUAGAACUAUGGCUACAUUUAGGAACCACUGAAGUGGUCAAGUUGAAUGAUGUCUACAAUGUCUAAGGUACACAACUGAGGAUGAAGAUAAAAGCAGGAUCAUGCCUCAAUUGAACGAAAAUUACUGUAACUCACAACAAUUGCAUGGGCAUACAACAUCACUAGUGUUUCGGAAAUAGGAUCUAAUGAGCCCUAGUCAUCUUGAGUUUUGGCAUGCCCUUCUUCAUUUGGCGGGC